CCGGCACGGGUGGGUAACACGUAUGCAAUCCACCUGUAACAGGGGGAUAACCCGGAGAAAUCCGGACUAAUACCCCAUAAUAUGGGCGCUCCGCAUGGAGAGUCCAUUAAAGAGAGCAAUCUUGGUUACAGACGAGCAUGCGCUCCAUUAGCCAGUUGGCGGGGUAACGGCCCACCAAGGCGACGAUGGAUAGGGGUUCUGAGAGGAAGGUCCCCCACAUUGGAACUGAGACACGGUCCAA
rnacentral:rRNA from 1 species